AGGACGAACGCUGGCGGCGUGCUUAACACAUGCAAGUCGAGCGGAAAGGCCCUUCGGGGUACUCGAGCGGCGAACGGGUGAGUAACACGUGAGUAACCUGCCCUUAGCUCUGGGAUAGCUCCGGGAAACCGGGAUUAAUACCAGAUACGACCACUUUAGACAUCUUUUGUGGUGGAAAGAAUUUCGGCUAGGGAUGGGCUCGCGGCCUAUCAGCUUGUUGGUGAGGUAACGGCUCACCAAGGCGACGACGGGUAGCCGGCCUGAGAGGGCGACCGGCCACACUGGGACUGAGACACGGCCCAGACUCCUACGGGAGGCAGCAGUGGGGAAUAUUGCGCAAUGGGCGAAAGCCUGACGCAGCGACGCCGCGUGGGGGAUGAAGGCCUUCGGGUUGUAAACCCCUUUCAGCAGGGACGAAGCGAAAGUGACGGUACCUGCAGAAGAAGCGCCGGCUAACUACGCGCCAGCAGCCGC
rnacentral:rRNA from 1 species